CUAACCGUGUAUUUAGAUUUUUAAUUUUGGGUCCAGUUUUCAAAUUGGUCUACAUUAAGGUCCAAAGGGUCCAAAAUUAAACUUUGUUUGAUUUUAACAAAAAUUGAGUAUAUGGGGUUCUUUGAUAUGCUGAAUCUAAACAUGUAUUUAGAUUUUAGAUUUUUGGCCCAGUUUUCAAGUUGGUCCAAGUUGGGGUCCAAAAUUAAACUUUGUUUGAUUUCAACAAAAAUUGAAUAUAUGGGGUUCUUUGAUAUGCUGAAUCUAAACAUGUAUUUAGAUUUUAGAUUUUUGGCCCAGUUUUCAAGUUGGUCCAAAUUGGGGUCCAAAAUUAAACUUUGUUUGAUUUCAACAAAAAUUGAAUUAUUGGGGUUCUUUGAUAUGCCAAAUCUAACCGUGUUUUUAGAUUUUUAAUUUUGGGUCCCAUUUUUUAAAUUGGUCUACAUUAAGGUCCAAAGGGUCCAAAAUUAAACUUAGUUUGAUUUUAACAAAAAUUGAAUUCUUGGGGUUCUUUGAUAUGCUGAAUCUAAACAUGUGUUUAGAUUUUUGAUUAUGGGCCCAGUUUUCAAGUUGGUCCAAGUUGGGGUCCAAAAUUAAACUUUGUUUGAUUUCAACAAAAAUUGAAUAUAUGGGGAUCUUUGAUAUGCUGAAUCUUAACAUGUAUUUAGAUUUUAGAUUUUUGGCCCAGUUUUCAAGUUGGUCCAAAUUGGGGUCCAAAAUUAAACUUUGUUUGAUUUCAACAAAAAUUGAAUAUAUGGGGUUCUUUGAUAUGCUGAAUCUUACCAUGUAUUUAGAUUUUUUAUUUGUGGGCCCGCUAUCAAAUUGGUUCAUAUUGAGGUCAAAAGGGUCCAAAAUUAGACUUUGUUUGAUUUCAUCAAAAAUUGAAUUAUUGGGGUUCUUUGAUAUGCCAAAUCUAACCGUGUUUUUAGAUUUUUAAUUUUGGGUCCCAUUUUUUAAAUUGGUCUACAUAAAGGUCCAAAGGGUCCAAAAUUAAAUUUUGUUUGAUUUUAACAAAAAUUGAAUUCUUGGGGUACUUUGAUAUGCUGAAUCUAAACAUGUGUUUAGAUUUUUGAUUAUAGGACCAGUUUUCAAGUUUGUCCAAGUUGGGGUCCAAAAUUAAACUUUGUUUGAUUUCAACAAAAAUUGAAUAUAUGGGGUUCUUUGAUAUGCUGAAUCUAACCAUGUAUUUUGAUUUUGGACAUUGGUCCAUAAUAGGUAAAUUAAAAAAAUUGAAGUUCUUAGACCACAUUCUUUCUGUAUCAGAAACCUAUGCUGUGUCAAAUAUUUAAUCACAAUCCAAAUUCAGAGCUGUAUCAAGCUUGAAUGUUGUGUCCAUACUUGCCCCAACUGUUCAGGGUUCGACCUCUGCGGUCGUAUCAAGCUGCGCCCAGCGAAGCAUUUUAUUUAAAAUUGGU